CACGCAGGCGGUCUGUCAAGUCGGAUGUGAAAUCCCCGGGCUCAACCUGGGAACUGCAUCCGAAACUGGCAGGCUUGAGUCUUGUAGAGGGGGGUAGAAUUCCAGGUGUAGCGGUGAAAUGCGUAGAGAUCUGGAGGAAUACCGGUGGCGAAGGCGGCCCCCUGGACAAAGACUGACGCUCAGGUGCGAAAGCGUGGGGAGCAAACA
rnacentral:rRNA from 1 species